rnacentral:lncRNA from 1 species
UAAUAAACUAACAUAUUAUUAUUUUAAAACUAUAAUUACUCUUAUUCAUAUUAUUUCUGUCUAGCUGUCCAAACACUAUUUUUCUUAUUUUUCAAAAAUAAUCUAAUUUUUAUUCAAACCCAAAAUUGAUCUAAUUACUGUUUAUCCUAGGAGUUGUAUUUAUGCCAGUAAUAACCAAGAACAAUUUAUUCCCGAAUCAAAUGAUAUCUAAGAUAAAAGAAAUGAAAAAUAU